AGUGAACGCUGGCGGUAGGCCUAACACAUGCAAGUCGAACGGCAGCACAGUAAGAGCUUGCUCUUACGGGUGGCGAGUGGCGGACGGGUGAGGAAUACAUCGGAAUCUACUUUUUCGUGGGGGAUAACGUAGGGAAACUUACGCUAAUACCGCAUACGACCUACGGGUGAAAGCAGGGGAUCUUCGGACCUUGCGCGAUUGAAUGAGCCGAUGUCGGAUUAGCUAGUUGGCGGGGUAAAGGCCCACCAAGGCGACGAUCCGUAGCUGGUCUGAGAGGAUGAUCAGCCGCACUGGAACUGAGACACGGUCCAGACUCCUACGGGAGGCAGCAGUGGGGAAUAUUGGACAAUGGGCGCAAGCCUGAUCCAGCCAUACCGCGUGGGUGAAGAAGGCCCUCGGGUUGUAAAGCCCUUUUGUUGGGAAAGAAAAGCAGCAGGUUAAUACCCCGCUGUUCUGACGGUACCCAAAGAAUAAGCACCGGCUAACUUCGUG
rnacentral:rRNA from 1 species